AUGGACGUUACCUUUGAGGCGAAGAACGGCUCGUUCACCCUAGAGGUGUGGUACUUCGCGACCGUGAAGCAGAUGAAGGAGAUGAUCCACAAGCGCUACCGCCACCUCCCGGUGAAGGCCCAGCGGCUUUUCUUCAAUGGCAAGGAGCUUGACGACGACCGCAAUACCGAGCACUACGGUAUCAUACAGGGGUCAAGCAUCCGCCUUGAACUGCUGGCAAGCUUGACCAUGUUACCUUUGUGA
rnacentral:rRNA from 1 species